CUCUCCUAUGAAAGGAAGAAAAAAAACUCCGCCUCAACCCUCCCGGCCGGCCCGGCGGCACCAGCUCUCCCAGAUCCGCCUCCGCCUCCGCCUCGAACUGCCGUCCCCUCGAGACAGCACCGCCGCUCCUCUCGCCUAUCUUCGUUGCCUUCCUGCUCUCUGCUCCAGCCGCUCUAGAACCACCUCUCCUAGAUCCCUGCACCACCUACCCUGAUUCAAGUCUCUGAAUCCCGCCUCCGAGCGCCGCCACUACCCUCUAUCCUCGACUCCUCCGACGUGCGUCUCACUCUCAGCUCCAUGGAUGCCCUCUCCCUCACGAUCUGCGUGCACCGCAAUAUACUCGUUGCGCGGAGUGGGUUCUUCACCGCCAAGCUCUCGGACCAUUGGUCCAAUCAGCGGUGGACAUUGUCUCACAUCAACAAGAUCUCCGACUACGACAACGUGGAGAUAGAAACAGCGGCGGCUCCGUCCCCUGCUCGACACCUCGCUGGUGCUGACAGACGCACUCUGUGUCGCUGCAGCAGAGCGGCGCCAGACACAAUUCCCCACCUUGGCCGCCCUCACUCUGCUUAACGCCCCCCUGCUUUUGCAAUGUACAGCAACAACAGGUCGACUAAAUUGCUUACAUUUAAUGCAGCGAGUUGAUACCAUCCACGUUUGAUACAGGUAGAUGUAUAUCAGCUAUAACUUCUCUUGCCAAUUUAGUAAACAAAUCUGCUAUUUUGAAUACUGUCUUGAGCACUGCAUUGCAGAAUCAUGGGAGAGUUUAGGUUUGAAGCAUCCCCUCAAUCGUACUAUAUCUAUAUCAUCAAGAUCACGGGUGUGUUCUCUCUAAUAUACUUCCGUGUAUAUGCAAGUUUGUGAAUUUCUAAGAGAUACACUUGGUCUACAAUAUUACCAGAUGUAGUAGAUCAUUUUAAAGUGUCAAUGUCAUGAUGCAUUAAUUCGUGAGAAAAUGGUUGCAUCUUCCACUAAUUUCCUGAUAAUGGUUUAUUUGAUUAUUCUUUUUUCAGCAGAACUAAUGUAGAUGUGUUGAAGCAAUCUUGCGUUGCCUGUUAUAGAUUAUCCAUUUUGGUUAUCUCGACUAUGAAGCAUCGAUUUCUGUUCCAUGAUUCCAAAAUUCAUACUUUAUGCAAAGAGGAAAUGUUCCAAUUCCUUGUGGAACUAAGACAGUUGUGAAGAAAGUAGCUUUUCCAAGUCUUGUAACCUUACAAUAAUUACUAGAUUAUUAGUAUUCACUUAUAGUAUUCAUACAUGUAAGGGUGCCAUUGCCUGAGAUUAACUGAUGGUUGUGCCACUUAACUAUUCUUCAGGUUAUUGAUCUAUCUACGGUUCACGACUCCUGCAUGCCCAGUGAAGGACAUCAUAAGUGCAGUGCUUGGUGUUUGCUUUCAUUUUGUCUUUGGAUUUGUGGAUUUUAUUCGCCAUGUCGAGCCUUUCAAUAUGCGGCUUGAUGUCUUGGUGUUACGUAACAUACCAUUGUCUUGGUCCUUUCUACUACUGCACAACGUCAUGGUCCAAACAAUGAAAACCAUGACUGAAAUCAUCAAGCAAUUGACUUCAGACAUGCACUAAGACACACCUUUAAGACUAGUACCAUGAGAUUGUCACUGCUGUUUUGCGUGAAUAGCGUGCUUCAAUUUAGUCGUUACAUAUUUAUUUAGUACUCCUUAAGAAUAACAUGAAACAGUGUACUCUUGUAUGUUCAAUAUUGUGUCAGGACAAGCCUCUGGCUGCUGAGGUAAAUUACAAAGCACAAGGAUCGAAGAGAUGCGAAGGGUGGGAGGCAUACACUUGUUUGUUUGUUUUUUGCGAAAGAACAUACAAUUGUUAACAGUGUGUAUUCACCCUGAACUUGUAUACUGGCGAUGACACGACAAUUACUUUAUUUUUGUUCCAGUGACCAGAAAAGAUGGCUUACAAAAUGUGAUAUCAUUACGUGCACAGGUAUGCAUCAUUUGCUUUUCUUGGCAUUCCCUUUUCUAAAUAGAUUUACUUAAUUGUGGUAACUAAACAGUGUGUUAUUUGUUUAGGAUUCUUGUUUCCUUAAGAUAUGUUGCCACUUUUUAUGCCUUAACAUUCUUCUCUAUGUAGUGCAGAUUAUUUGCUAAGUAAAACCAGCAGUUCAGAACAAAAAGAGAACAUCCACAUUUAAACAAGCAAUGUUAUCUCUUUUUAGUUUCAUGCGUCCCCUGAAAUAAUGUGUCAUUAUAUAUAUAAAAAGAUCACUGUACUUUCUUCUUUCCAUGUCGCAAAUUUCAUUUGUAAUUUUUACCUGUCCCAGUUUCAUAUCAGAUUCGGAGACAUCUGAUAUAAUUAAAGACAUCUAUGUCCUAUUUUGCCUCGAGAAGUUGCACUUGUUAAAUACUUAAGUGCAUCUCGUUCAUAUUAUAAUCUGCUGGUGUUGUGGUGUAUUCCUAACUUCUGGGCUGUGUGAAAAUCUCUAUCAAAAUCAAAGUUGAGUGGCAGCCGUACUUCUAUUUGUUGUCAUUAUUACAAUGAUAUAUUUUCAUUUGCAUACUUGUCUGACUUGUGUUGCCAUCACCUUCUGAUUAUUUGCAUUGGUCGUACCUUGUGAUCCCUGUUUUCAUGUAUCUCACAGCUAGUUCGAUUACUUGUAGAGAGUAACACAAUGCUGGAGGUAACCAGAAUUGUGGGAGAAAUAUCUAUGGUGAUCAGCAUAAUAUGAGUGACACAACUGAGUGAAGUUCUCAAGCCAAGAUGUUGAUGGUGUUUGAUGUUUUUGGACCAUUAAUCUUUAGAAAAAUGUUAAGAACAUUCUGUUCUAGUUACUAUUUCAUAUAUUUUUUAAGGAUCAU